rnacentral:rRNA from 1 species
CAAUAGCGUAUAUUAAAGUUGUUGCAGUUAGAACGCUCGUAGUCGGAUUUCGGGGCGUUCCGACCGGUCUGCCGAUGGGUAUGCACUGGCCGGAGUGUCCUUUUUGCCGGAGACCGUGCCUACUCUUAACUGAGCGGGGGCGGGAGACGGCACUUUUACUUUGGAAAAAUCAGAGUGUUUCAAGCAGGCAGCUCGCUCUUGCAUGGAUUAGCAUGGGAUAAUGAAAUAGGACUUUGGUGCUAUUUUGUUGGUUUCGAACACCGAAGUAAUGAUGAGAAGGGACAGUCAGGGGCACUCGUAUUCCGCAGAGAGAGGUGAAAUUCUCAGACCCGCGGAAGACGAACCACUGCGAAAGCAUUUGCCAGGGAUGUUUUCACUGA